rnacentral:lncRNA from 1 species
AAGAAUCAUCCCCUUUAUCAAUUUGUGUUGUAUUUCGGCUUCAUAUAUGGUUGAGCUAGUUGCAGAUUUUGGGUGUUGUUGUUGAUGGUUAGAUAGUAUAGUAGCAAGACCAAUCAUGAUCACUUGGUCAGUAAUUGAUCAAGAGAUUCAUGAUCAGUCACCCUUGGAUGUAAAUCCAAUGGUAAGGAGAAUUAUUUAUAAGUAGAGUUGUUUUGUUUUUAACCCUUGGAUGUAAAUCUGACGGUAAUUGACCAUGAAUCUCUUUUUCAGUAACUGACCAGGUGAACACUACUGGUAGCCAGGAAGAGUUGGCUUACAAUUAAUGGUAUUGACAUUGUUAAUGCAACCCGAGGUGUCAUAGCCAAGGUAGAUCGAAUUUUGUUCUUCCUCUAUCUCACGAAGUACACAGAAAUCAAAAAAUCAAGUAUGAGAGAGAGAGAGAUCGAUCUUGAAGAAUCAAGAUAUGAGUGUUCAUUUAUAUGGUAAUAUCAAUUUAUACAGACCCGCUCACUUGAGGGAGUGUUUUUACGGGACAAAGAGGGACAAUUCACUUAUGACCCUUAGAUUUAAAUGAAGCUGAUCUGAGGGCUGAAAGAAUCUUCACCCCAAUUAUGAGUCCACACCAGAUAACUUCCCCAUCUUCAUUCCUUUUUCUCUUGUAAAGAAACCCAGGCGAGGUUCACAGAACACCAUCGUCGCCGCAGCUCCGACAAAGAGAAACAACAUCAUUCUGAUAAAAAGAAAUUUUGGAUCGUUACCGUUCAAAUUGAAGAAACCCCAAAGAAAUAGAGAUCACAGUUUUCAUAAGUUAAAAUAAAAAAAGCAACAAUUUUUGGGGAUAUUUUUAGAUUGGAAAAGAAUGAAUAUGGGAUUUCAUUCAACCCAGAAAUCUUGAAUGUGGGAUUUUCGCACCCCUGAAUCGAAACCAAAUUACCACUCUAUCAAACCCACUUUACAUAUAAUUCACAUCUGUUCCUUCAACCUCCAGCUAACUCCUUCUCUAUCAAUUUUUCAAUGUUUUUUCUUUCUUUUUUGAUAUUGAAAUUAGAGCUAUUGCUAUUGGGAUUUCUUCAACACAGAAAUUGAACCACAGAGAUUAAAACUUGAAACACAAAGAUUGAAACUGAUGAAUACUAAAUCACUUUCAUUGAUAUUGAAACACAAAGAGACGAUCUUUAUUUAACCUCUGCAAACAAUCGAGAGCGCCGUCUUUAACGCCGAACCCUAACUCGUCUCUAACAACAGGUCUGAUCCAUCGCACCAGCUAGCUAAUCGAUCCUGAGAUUAUUUUGUAGCUUCUCGGACUCGGCCUACUUCAACCCAGCAACUAUAGCCAUUCAAGUCGCAGCUUUCAUUGCAACGACGUUGUUGCUCUUAGUCAGAGCUACGGUGGUGGUGGUGUUGUGCACCUCGCUUGGGUUUCUUAACGAGAGAGAGAGAGAGAGAGAGAGAGAGAGAGAGAGAGAGAGAGAGAGAGAGAGAGAGAGAGNGNNNNNNNNNNNNNNNNNNNNGAGAGAGAGAGAGAGGAUAGAAAGGAAGAAGAUGGGUGAGUUAUCUGGUGUAGACUCACGAAUUAGAGUGGAGUUUCUUUUAGCCAUCAGAUCAGCUUCAUUUAAAUCUAAGGGUCAGUAGUGAGCUGUCCCUCUUUGUCCUGUAAAAACACUCCCGCAUGUGAGCGGGCCUGUCAAUUUAUAUUUAGUUUCAUUUUUAUUCCAUUUCAGAAUCUCAUAGAGUUCUACCAGCAUCUACAUUCACGGAGGGGAAGCAAGAACACAGUGAGUAAUUGUAAAAUGAGGGUAUAAGAAAAAUAUUGUAUAAUAAAAGUAAACAGAGAUGUGCGUGGGAAUAAAAUUUCUUAAAAUAAAAUAAGUUGAAAAAAUAAAAAUUGAAAACAUCAAUUUUGUCAAUUAAGCUACCUAACCAACCAAACCACGGCUCACCCUCAAAGAGUUGUCCCUCUUUGUCCCGUAAAAACACUCCCGCAUGUGAGCGGGCCUGUCAAUUUAUAUUUAGUUUCAUUUUUAUUCCAUUUCAGAAUCUCAUAGAGUUCUACUAGUAUCUACAUUCAUGGAGGGGAAGCAAGAACAUAGUGGGUAAUUGUAAAAUGAGGGUAUAAGAAAAAUAUUGUAUAAUAAAAGUAAACAGAGAUGUGCGUGGGAAUAAAAUUUCUUAAAAUAAAAUAAGUUGAAAAAAAAAUUGAAAAUGUCAAUUUUGUCAAUUAAGCUACCUAACCAACCAAACCACGGCUCACCCUCAAAGGAUAUGUCAUUGCCAAUGCUUAUUGUAAUACAAAGUUCAUGAUUUAUAGUGAUGGGUAUAGUAUACAUGAGAACCCUUCUAAUGAUGACCUUUAAGUUAAGGACUUUCUAGUUAAUAGGUUAAGAGACCCACUUUUUAAUCACAUUUUUGCAUAUUAACCAUUCAGUUUAUAGAUCUAUAUGAGUAGAUUAUUUAUGCAAAUUUUCAGCAAAAUUGGUUAUCGUUAAGGUAUCAAACUAGAUUAAAUCAAUGGACGAACCAAAUCUGUCAAACAUGAACCGUUCAAGUUCAUAAUUUGUAAAUCACACUUACGAAUGUCUUAAUGAUUAUCAAUUCGACUGAAAAUUUGCAGACAUGAUCUAUUUAUAUAAUAUGAACGGUUGAGAUAUGAGCACCCAGUCUGAAACGGGGUGAAACAAAUAUGUUUUCAAUUUAAGAGUCCUCGUUAGAAGGUUUCUGAUAUACAUACCACAGUAAGUUUCUUUAAAAUCUCUACCCCACCACCCCCUUACAAGCAUAUGCAACCACAUCUUUAGGGUAUGUAUACCUCACCUAUGUCUACCUCUUGUAUCACGCACUUCAAAGCUUGAGGACAUAUCCUAUGUUUUAAGAGAGACAUAGGACCAAAAUUACAAAAGAAAAUACGCCCGAAUUACACUGAAUAUAAGGGUUAGUUUUGUUUUGGGACUUUAAAUGGACUUUGUCUUGCUUGUACUCUGUAUGCUUGUAUCUAUAUAAAGCUAGAUAGCAGACAUAUAUUACAAUUCAUUUUAUAUUCCUCAUUCAUAUGCAGUAGAAAACAGUGAUUUGUUUGCAAUAGAAGUACUAGUGAGAUGUGGAGGAUUCAGUUUGGGAAGGGUGCAAAUGAUGACCCUUAUUUAUUCAGCACAAACAACUUUCAUGGGAGGCAGACAUGGAAGUUUGACCCAAAUGCAGGCACACCAGAAGAGCGAGCAGAGGUCGAAGCCGCUCGUGAGAAUUUCUACCAGAAUCGGUUCAAGAUACAGCCUAGUAGUGAUCUCCUUUGGCGUUUUCAGGUACAAAAGUGUAUGCAGCCACGUAAAUGGCUACAUUUCAGAACUAACUGAACACUACAUAUAUAUACACACACACAACACUUUAUCCAUUGUGCAUGUGUGCAAAUGAGUUUACCUCACUUUGCUGAUGCUCAGCUUACAAAGUCGUAACUAGAUUUCUGUUUUCUUUCCCCAAUUGCAGUUGCUAAGAGAGAAGAAGUUCAAGCAAGAAAUUCCUCCAGUGAGAAUUGGGGAAGAUGAGGAAAUCACAUUUGAUCAGGCCACAGCUGCAUACAGGAGGGCUGCUUCCUUCUGGAAUGCCUUGCAGUCACCCCAUGGUCACUGGCCUGCUGUGAAUUCUGGACCAAACUAUUACAUGCCUCCCUUAGUAAGUUACUGCAUGCUGUCAAUAAAUUUUACAGUAACCUAGAUGGCUGUAAAAAUUGGGUCGUUGCACCUGACCAACUGUUGUACAUGUUUCUUGAAAUGCAGAUCAUGACUUUGUACGUAACAGGAUACCUCAAUGUUAUUAUCUCAGCUGAGCACAAGAAAGAAAUCUUGCGCUACACAUACAACCAUCAGAACGAAGAUGGUGGCUGGGGAUUAGACAUAACAGGUCAUAGUAUGAUGUACACCACAUGCCUCAACUACUGCAUGAUUCGUAUUCUCGGAGAAGGCCCCGAUGGUGGUCGAGAUAAUGCUUGUGCAAGAGCCCGGAAAUGGAUUCUGGACCACGGUGGUGCCCUGUAUUCUUGUUCAAGUGGAAAGACCUGGAUGGCAGUAUGAAAUACUAGCUAGCUAGUUGAAAGCUUUUAUCUAUGCNNNNNNNNNNNNNNNNNNNNUAUAUAUAUAUAUAUAUAUAUAUAUAUAUAUAUAUAUAUAUAUAUAUAUCGUUGAAUGGGGUAACUUUUUUUGUUACAGAUACUUGGUGUUUAUGAUUGGGAAGGAAGCAACCCCAUGCCCCCGGAGUUUUGGACUUACCCCACUCUGCUUCCUUUUCAUCCAUGUAACAACAAAUAUAAUUAGUCUGCAAACUUUUAUUCAGUACUUGUUAUUUCUAAUUAGUGCCACUUCAAUGUGAAUUGCAGCAAAGAUGUGGUGCUACUGUAGGUUAACUUACCUACCCCUGUCCUACCUUUAUGCCACAAGAUUUGUUGGCCCAAUCACUCCUCUAGUUGAACAAUUGAGAGAAGAAAUUUACUGUGAAUCUUACAGUGAAAUUAAGUGGAGUAAAGUGCGCCAUCAUUGUGCAAAGGCGAGUCUAUGUUACAGUGGCGCGCUCAGUUCGAUCACACCAUUUUGCAAGCUUAAUUUGACUGGUAUACAAAUUUGAUUAAUGCAGGAAGAUACCUACUAUCCUCGUGGAAGGGUACAACGUCUCAUAUGGGACACUCUUUACCAUGUUUGUGAGCCUCUUCUUGCUUCGCGGCCCUUGAAGAAGAUCAGAGACAACGCUAUUCAAUUUACCAUGGAACAAAUUCAUUACGAAGAUGAGAACAGUCACUAUAUUACCAUUGGAUCUGUGGAAAAGGUAAGUGUGUGACAGAGCUAGCUAGACAUGAGGGUACAAAUAUAUGUACACACACACACGUGUCCCUGUCGUUGGUUAAGUUCUGCUGCUCUGAUAAUGGAUACCAUUUGAUUUGGA